UGAGUCACAGGCAAUUCCAUUUUGUUUAGGGGCAUAAGACUGCCCUCUCACUCUUGGGGCCAAAGGAGUUGCUGAGAAGGAGAGGAGGUUCUGACCCACAGGGAAAUUCCCACCUCUGCACCGUGACUUAGAAACACCUUGGUCCUUUUGCUCAUCUCUCUCAAGGGGCUACCCAUCGUCCUUGAAAGGGAUAGAGAGGAGAGAGAUAAACCAAGCAAAGCCAACAGACUUUGAAAACGACCAUAGAUCUGAUUGUGAGCACUGCCCUGGGGACCAGCUCUGCCUACAGCCCUUCCAUCCCAGGUCACUCAGAGGCUGCCACAGGGCCAUUCUGGUGACCCAAAUCAGCACUUGCCUCAGGUCACAGAGGGCUUUUGAGGCCGAAGGUGGGUGAGCGCCCUGGCAUUCUUUCAUCCUAGAUAAGAGGUCAGUGCAAAACGGCACUGGCCAGACAAACCACAGGAAGGAGAGAAAUUCAGAGUCAUUCAGGAAACAGAAGACACUUCACUGAACCCAGAGAUGGGGUAGAUCGCUACGUGUGACUUUUAGGAGAAAAGGGAACAUGACAACAGAUAUUGUUAGUGAAGGUCUAUCAGAAAAGAAAACGUCUUACAGCACGAGAGCCCGGGGAGGGGACAAGGCCGUUCUGCGUUCUGGUUAUUGUCUUCGCCAAGCCCAGUGCCAAGACCCACGAUGGCCUCUGUUCUACCAGCCAGGCAACGUCUCAAAGGUUCCUCCACUCCCAACGUGUGGGGUUCACUUCAGACAAUCUGAAACCCAAGAAAUGUGAGAUCCUGCUCCCGGGGCUGGGGCUUAAUGGAGAUUGGAUUGUGCUUACUCCGGCAGAGGGCAGAACAGCACUGCUCUCUUCUCCUGCCUCUCCCCCCACCACCACCCAGUCCACAGCUACAGGACAUGCUCUUUGGCCAAAAUGUGGCCUUUCUCCAGGAGUCACAAGCUGCGCGCCAGAUUAGCUCCUGAGUCCUCGGCUGGCCUCACAAUGCUACUGCUUUGAGCAUGCUGCAGGCUGUGCCUCGAGAAGCACAGGAAUGUACAGGGGGCUGGAGCCUCUCACCUGGGGUUUCCCUCCGUCCCUUAUAUGGUGAGGCCUCUCCUGAAGGCUUCAUCAACACCCUUGCCCCCAGUUAGAUCCUGCCUGGCCGCCGUUUCCUGCUAAGAUGACUGCAUCCUUUCGCAACCUGCCCUCUCUUAGCAAAGUAGGGUUUGGGUGUUGUUCACUAGGUGGACCCCAAAACUGAAAAGAACAAGAAUCAAGCGGCAGUGUUUGCUCCCUAGGAAAUGUGCUGUUUCUCUGGAAGACUGCGGAAGCCCCAGAUGCAUUUGGCAUGCAAAGCUACAUCAGCAGAACAGCAGGUUCAGACUAGAAGAGCCAGUUCCGUUCCGCUGGAAGAGAGAGGAUGCAGAAUGUGGUUUUUCAGUUCCUGGGGCCUCAGGAGCUCUGAAACUCCCUCUCUCCCUGCCUUGCUGCACCGCUGCUGUUGUGGAGAAAACUGUGCCUACUCCUGGUAUUACACUGAGGCUCCUGCGGCCUCAGUUUCCUUGUCAGUGAGAUGGAAAACCUAAUUUCAAAUUCUUUAUUUAUGAUGUGAGAGAGAUAGGGAUGACUCUCAUGGGCCUUUCGGCAGCCUCCCCCACCCCUCCAUUGCCCUCUCUCCUUCUCCCCUGCCUUAGCUUGUUCUUUCUUUUUUCCUCGCAUUCUCUGGGUCCCCUGGCCUCUCUCCUCUCUGCCCCCUCCAGGCAGGAAGACCAGAGUCUGCCUUUUUCUGGUUAAGAAGUCCUGCUUUGCAGAAGCAUAGCCAAUUUAUGACCCUGCCCUUCCCAGCUGGGAACAAUGUUUAUUUACAUUUAGGAAUAUAAGGAGAGAGGCUUAGCUGUGAGUUUCUGAGGCCAGGGAAAAUUAGAGCCAUGCAUAAAGGGUUUGCCUUCACCAAGGUGCUGAGCUAGUGCUGGGCCCAGGAGGCUGUGGGGCCUGGGGAGGGGAGUGUCAGAAAGGAGGUGGUCUGAUGCUCUUUCUGAUUUUGGGAAUUAACUCAAUGUUCUCAAGCCAAGAAACAGAGAGAAGCAAAGCAGGGAAGUGGGAGGCAGAGUAUAAUACAAAGAGACAGAGAGAGAAAAACUAAAAAUCAAAACCGUAAAAGGAAAAAGUGACAUAGUCCUUAAAUAUAUAUUUUUUUAAUCAUAAGGAAGAUUUGAAGAGAGCAGAAAGGGUAUAAAGGGGGAUUUGUCCUUAUUUACUACUAA